UACGGGGGGAGCAAGCGUUGUUCGGAUUUACUGGGCGUAAAGGGCGCGUAGGCGGCCAGCACAAGUCAGUUGUGAAAUCUCCGGGCUUAACUCGGAAAGGUCAACUGAUACUGUGCGGCUAGAGUGCAGAAGGGGCAACUGGAAUUCUCGGUGUAGCGGUGAAAUGCGUAGAUAUCGAGAGGAACACCUGCGGCGAAGGCGGGUUGCUGGGCUGACACUGACGCUGAUGCGCGAAAGCGAGGGGAGCGAACGGG
rnacentral:rRNA from 1 species